AAUGUGGGGACCUGGAAAUGGCCACCACAAGAUAUGUCUCUUUGGCAUCAGGAUUAUUUGAGGCUGAUUGCUUUUGAUAAAGUGGGACAGGGAAGGAGGCUCUGAGGAAUGGAACUUGCCCUUUGUUAGCACACAUUUACAUUUGUAAGGUAAAUCUCUAUCUGUAAAAGUUGCCUGCCUCUCUGUACCAGGAAGAAGAAAGGAGAUGACCUUCUCUGUAAAAACUCUUAAUCAAUACCAAAGACAAGGACUUAAAAUCUGCAUUUUAUUGUGCUUGUCUGGUAACUGACUUCCUCCUGUAACUGACUUCCCUCCCCCUCCCAACGUUGGCAUUUCUUUAAGGAUUAAGCAUCUUUCCUUAGGCUAGGAACUGAUUGCUGAGCUCACCUGUGACCACCCAGCUCCAGACAAUAGACUUUCCUCCUGCUACGCCCACCAAGAUAGCAGACCAUUACCUGCUGUGUCCAUCAAGCACUGUUGCGACAGGGCAAUCUUGUGACUAUUGUGGGAGGGACAUUUCAAUCACAUGUGAAACACCCUGUUUGGGGGUAUAUAACUACUAUGUGCACCCCACUUCUUCGGUGCCCUUUCUUCCUUUGGGAAGAAAGGCCCCAGGCCAUGGUUCUUCAUAAAGCUUUGUUUAAUUUUCUCUUGCUAUUCUGUCUCAUGUGAAUUUAAUUCAUUCUCCGGCCAGUCGAACCCACAUUUGGGAAGAGGAAAUCUCUUCCUCCCCUACAGUUUUGGUGUAGUCGGCAGGAUGAUAUUUCACUGGCUGGACACUGCUUGCUGCUGGACUGCUGCGGCAGAGAGAUCCUGGACUCCUGAGGAGAGCUGGCAAGAGGUAAGAGUUAUUACCAUGUCAGUCUCCUGGAUCUCUGCCUGCAGGCUCCAAUGGAAGCAAGAGUGGCUGGAUUGCGAUCCCUUCCUCUGGCACCUGACCACUCUCUGAACUGCAGGAAAGUCCCAAUCGAGACUCCAGUUCAAGGUCCUGAAUAAAGGCUCUCUUUUGACCUGGAUGAAGGAAGAGGAUUUCUCUGGGGAUUUUCAGAGGGCCACUGGGACUUCACAGAGAAAUUUGAUCUCUUCCUAUAAGGUGGAAGAUUCUAAACUAAUCAGGCUUAUUUAGUCUGUUAAUCUACAUUGGAAGCGUUGUCAGAUAAAGUGAUGAUAAUCUUUCCUAGGUGGUAUUAUGUGGGUAAAUGUUAUUGAUAUAAGUGUUUUGAAAAUUAUGUAACAUUCCUAAAUUCUGAUCUGUCCUCGCUAUCAGCCAUAAUUCUAAUUAUUAUUUUAAGGUGUUGUAUAUCACAGAAAUAAUAAAUUUCUCUGUCAAUUGUCAUUUUUGAGUCUUUUGUUGUUUACAGUCAGUUGUUUUACUCUGAUGCUUUUUGCUUUUGCAAAUAUGUCUCAUCUUCAGAGAGAUUCAUA
rnacentral:lncRNA from 1 species